ACACAUGCAGUCGAGCGGUAACAGAUCGAAGCUUGCUUUUUUUGAUGACGAGCGGCGGACGGGUGAGUAAUGCCUGGGAAUAUGCCUUGAUGUGGGGGAUAACCAUUGGAAACGAUGGCUAAUACCGCAUAAUGCCUACGGGCCAAAGAGGGGGAUCUUCGGACCUCUCGCGUCAAGAUUAGCCCAGGUGGGAUUAGCUAGUUGGUGAGGUAAUGGCUCACCAAGGCGACGAUCCCUAGCUGGUCUGAGAGGAUGAUCAGCCACACUGGAACUGAGACACGGUCCAGACUCCUACGGGAGGCAGCAGUGGGGAAUAUUGCACAAUGGGCGCAAGCCUGAUGCAGCCAUGCCGCGUGUGUGAAGAAGGCCUUCGGGUUGUAAAGCACUUUCAGUCGUGAGGAAGGUAGUUGCGUUAAUAGCGUAAUUAUUUGACGUUAGCGACAGAAGAAGCACCGGCUAACUCCGUGCCAGCAGCCGCGGUAAUACGGAGGGUGCGAGCGUUAAUCGGAAUUACUGGGCGUAAAGCGCAUGCAGGUGGUUUGUUAAGUCAGAUGUGAAAGCCCGGGGCUCAACCUCGGAAUUGCAUUUGAAACUGGCAGACUAGAGUACUGUAGAGGGGGGUAGAAUUUCAGGUGUAGCGGUGAAAUGCGUAGAGAUCUGAAGGAAUACCGGUGGCGAAGGCGGCCCCCUGGACAGAUACUGACACUCAGAUGCGAAAGCGUGGGGAGCAAACAGGAUUAGAUACCCUGGUAGUCCACGCCGUAAACGAUGUCUACUUGGAGGUUGUGGCCUUGAGCCGUGGCUUUCGGAGCUAACGCGUUAAGUAGACCGCCUGGGGAGUACGGUCGCAAGAUUAAAACUCAAAUGAAUUGACGGGGGCCCGCACAAGCGGUGGAGCAUGUGGUUUAAUUCGAUGCAACGCGAAGAACCUUACCUACUCUUGACAUCCAGAGAAGCCAGCGGAGACGCAGGUGUGCCUUCGGGAACUCUGAGACAGGUGCUGCAUGGCUGUCGUCAGCUCGUGUUGUGAAAUGUUGGGUUAAGUCCCGCAACGAGCGCAACCCUUAUCCUUGUUUGCCAGCGAGUAAUGUCGGGAACUCCAGGGAGACUGCCGGUGAUAAACCGGAGGAAGGUGGGGACGACGUCAAGUCAUCAUGGCCCUUACGAGUAGGGCUACACACGUGCUACAAUGGCGCAUACAGAGGGCUGCCAACCAGCGAUGGUGAGCGAAUCCCAAAAAGUGCGUCGUAGUCCGGAUUGGAGUCUGCAACUCGACUCCAUGAAGUCGGAAUCGCUAGUAAUCGUGGAUCAGAAUGCCACGGUGAAUACGUUCCCGGGCCUUGUACACACCGCCCGUCACACCAUGGGAGUGGGCUGCAAAAGAAGUGGGUAGUUUAACCUUCGAGGAGGACGCUCACCACUUU
rnacentral:rRNA from 1 species